AGGCUUCCCUCUUUUGAUAUUAAGGAAGAGUGGAGUUUUGUGAUGGAGUAAACAUAUAGCAUAGCAGAAAGCAUAGUCGAAAUAAUUAUAUUCAAAAGGUGUAUGAAUCAAUAGUGGGCUUUAUAUGUGGUUGGGGUACGGAGUAGCAAAGAUGCAACAUCUCAUAAAAAGGCUGAGGCUUUGUUAUUCUGUAUCCCAGCUAUUUUGUAAACUCAGCAAUAGCUGUACCAUCCGGUAGUAACUCCGUAGUUUUAGUAGUAGAAACCAACAUAACCAUAUACAGAACAGGGAGUGUACGAAGGAAUGUGCUGUGGAGCUAUAUCCAAGUAGAACCCAGGUAUACCAGAAGCAGCCAAGUGAAGAUAAGAGAAUGCUAACGUCCACAAAACGAUUGGGGCCUGUCCCAAGAGGCUGAAAGGUGAGAAGGACAAAACGAGGAAGACUCCUUACUUCAUCUGAGGAAGACUCCUUAAUUCAUCAGGACGACCACCAGAGGGGGCUGCGCAAGCACAGAAGAGGCUGAUGUCGCAAUGGACUGAUGGAGCAAUCCCUGAUGCAUAUGUAUUAGUAGAUGAACCAACCUAUAUUGAAUAUGUAUUAGUUGCAAAACUUUUAAUGUAUAAAUUGUGAACGCGAUGUGACGGGGGUUGGAAUCAGAUUUGGGUGCAUACCAAAUUCCCAGCGCCUCAAUAAAGCACCUCAUAUAACCAUCCCCGUGGUUAUGUGUUUGUCUCGACGUUAGCAUUUUGGCGACCCAGGUGGGACCUCGCAGCACUGCUGAUGCGGAUCACAUUUCGAUCCUGCUCCAGCCGGCGCCGGCACCGGCACCGAGAGAUUCUCAGGGAGCCAUCGACUGCAACCGACCUCCGCUGCUCACGACAGACCUCUGACACAGUAAGAAAGGUAAAACCCUAACCAGAUUGUGAAGUACCUUGCUGUGGAACAGGUCACUGUCCUUGGAGAAUCCAGUGCAUGACAUUCAGCCAGGAGAUCAAGUGUACAUCCAAAAUUGGAAUGAGGAACCAUUAAAAGAACGGCGGGAUGGACCUCAUCAAGUAUUGCUAACAACGUUUACUGCAGUAAAGGUAGAAGGGGUGGACUCUUGGAUACAUUAUACAUGAGUGAAAAAGAUCCCAAAAGUCUGGGAAACCUAGAUGUUGAGUCCUACAAAACUUAAACUGAAAUGUAAGCAAGAUGUCUAGGUUUUUCUGUAGGACUGUGACUAUUGUCUGGUUUUUAACACCAUUGAUGGUUGUCCCCUUUUUAGAAAUCCCACAAAAGGGAGAUGUUUUGAUACAGCUUGUUGGACAGAAUACCACUCUGAUCUGCAAGUUCACAGACACCACUCCAAUAGGAUUAAUGUCAGUAAAGAUAAUCUGGGAAAAGAUAAAUUUAUUUUCUCAAAAAUCGGAUCUGAUUUUUGAUAGCAAAAACAAAAGUCAACUGCAAAACGAACGGGAAUCAGAAGUUGAGAUUGAAAACAAACUAUAUGAUCAGAGUUCAAACAAAGGGGAAACAAAAUUGAUAAUGGCUGCUUCUCUUCAGAUACACAGAUACAUCAGAUGUAUCAUCAAAUGAUGUGUCUUCGUAUCCGAAGGGAAAUGACCCACAACAAUGCAUGGACUCAUCAAAUCAUAGGAGCAGCAACAAGAGAGUAUCCAAAAAACCCAAGACCCCCACCCGCUUAUUUGGAGACAGCUGCCUAGACGCAGCAGAGAGUAGCUGCUUCCUAAUAGGUAGACGAAAGCGAAAAUACUUGCUAAAUGUGAAGUAUUUUCAAAGGGGGGAAAUGUUAGAGAACGGUAAAAAUUUUACCCCAUAAAUCUGUGUGGUUGCUCUAUCAUAAAGCUUCCCUCUUUUGAUAUUAAGGAAGAGUGGAGUUUUGUGAUGGAGUAAACAUAUAGCAUAGCAGAAAGCAUAGUCGAAAUAAUUAUAUUCAAAAGGUAUAUGAAUCAAUAGUGGGCUUUAUAUGUGGUUGGGGUACAGAGCAGCAAAGAUGCAACAUCUCAUAAAAAGGCUGAGGCUUUGUUAUUCUGUAUCCCAGCUAUUUUGUAAACUCAGCAAUAGCUGUACCAUCCGGUACCUUAGUAACUCCGUAGUUUUAGUAGUAGAAACCAACAUAACCAUAUACAGAACAGGGAGUGUACGAAGGAAUGUGCUGUGGAGCUAUAUCCAAGUAGAACCCAGGUAUACCAGAAGCAGCCAAGUGAAGAUAAGAGAAUGCUAACGUCCACAAAAUGACUGGGGCCUGUCCCAAGAGGCUGAAAGGUGAGAAGGACAAAACGAGGAAGACUCCUUACUUCAUCUGAGGAAGACUCCUUAAUUCAUCAGGACGACCACCAGACGGGGCUGCGCAAGCACAGAAGAGGCUGAUGUCGCAAUGGACUGAUGGAGCAAUCCCUGAUGCAUAUGUAUUAGUAGAUGAACCAACCUAUAUUGAAUAUGUAUUAGUUGCAAAACUUUUAAUGUAUAAAUUGUGAACGCGAUGUUAUGGGAUUCGGAAUCAAAUUUGGGUGCGUACCCGAUUCCCAGCGCCUCAAUAAAGCACCUCAUAUAACCA